rnacentral:rRNA from 1 species
UGCAGAGGGUGCAAGCGUUAAUCGGAAUUACUGGGCGUAAAGCGUGCGUAGACGGUAGCGUAAGUCGGGUGUGAAAGCCCCGGGCUCAACCUGGGAACUGCAUUUGUGACUGUAGAGCUGGAGUACGGUAGAGGGGGAUGGAAUUCCGCGUGUAGCAGUGAAAUGCGUAGAUAUGCGGAGGAACACCGAUGGCGAAGGCAAUCCCCUGGACCUGUACUGACGCUCAUGCACGAAAGCGUGGGGAGCAAACAGG